UUCAAGAAGUACUUCAGUUUUUAAAAAGCAGAUUUUAAAAACCUCUCUUUUAUUAAUUUCAUAUACCAUUUUUUGGUAACAUCUGUUGACAUCUUAGGGAAUUUAAUUUGGGAAAUAGCACUCUAGGCAAAGGAAAACCCAUUGCUUCUCGGCACCCUCUGCAAGUCUUGCAGCUCCUCAUCCAGGAAGGAAUGAUAUUUACAAACCACAAUCUGGGAACUAAGGAUAUGCACACUGCCAAUGGAGAGAGGGCACAGGCAGCAACAAGGGAGAGACAUUGCCCCACCAUUCACUGAUGAACCUGCGGUGGUUCCCACACUGGCAAAGUUUCAUUAAGCACUUCAGCACACUGGUACAACUGCUGCCAACAGUUAGGCUUCAGCACACGUCUCUGCAGCAUCCAGGAGCUGACACCACCCAGCCUGAAGCUCUCACCACCACUGAAAUCCUCCAAGGAAGUGCCAUGCAUUGCCAGCAGCUGCUUUCAUGACUUGCAGACAUGUAGGCUGGAUUUGUUAGCUCCUUAUCAACUUGCAAAUGACUUUGACAAAUUUUCUUGUUUGUUUUUUUUCUUUUGAGGAAAUGUUUGGAUUGCUAUUGCAGUCUUGUUUAUAAGGCAAUUAAAGCAGGAAGCAAUUAUCAUCAAUUAUCAUGUAAGACUAGCUACUGUCUUGUAAUUACUGUGUUAAUUGGCAUUAAGUUUAGGUAGAAAUUAUUGUUGCCCACUUCCAACUAAAAAGUAAAGAAUGUCAUGUCAGGAGUGAAGAAAGCACAUCUAAAAUAUAGUUUUCCCUUUAAAGAAAUUUUAUCUAGAGAGCACGUUUCUUAAUGUUUGUAUAUUUCUCAUUGCUUAAGUCAUUCAUUCAAAAGUUGAUGAUGAUGAUGAUGAUGAUGAUGAUGAUGAUGAUGAUGAUGUGAUAGACAGCUUCUAAGAUGGCUUCCAAUAAUCCAUGCUUCCUAGCUUUCAUGCCCUUGUAUAGAAGUGACUCAUAUAGCCAAUAGGAUAUAAACAAAAGGAUGGCAUGUGACUUCCAAAGUUAGGGCAUGAAAGUUAUUUUAGGGACCAUCAUGCUCUCCUGGAUUGCUCAGUCUAUAAAAAGCUGUCAAGAGAACCAAUAUGUCAAAAGACCCUCAACUCUGUGGAGAGAUCAACAUGGCAUUGAACUGAGGCCACACACCAACCAGCCCAUACCAACUUUCUGCCAUGCCAGUGAACCACUGUAGAAAUGGAUCCUGCAGCCCUAGUCAAGUCUUUCAAAGACUGUAACCCCAGCUCACGAUGUAGCUCAAUCUCUUGAAAGACUCUAAGCCAUAUCUACCUAGCUAAGUACUUUCCAAAUGACUGUCUCAUAGAAAUUGUAAGUAAUAAUGAACAUUUGUUGUUUUAAGCCACUAAAUUCUGAGGUAGAUUAUUAUCCAACAGUAGAUAAUUGAUACAGAUGGUGAUUAUUAUUGUUAAUGACUAUGGUGGUGAUUCCACCUCUCAUCCCCUAGGAAGAGAAAAUGUACAAUCAGACAUGGGAUUUGCCCUUUAAGAAAAUGACAGCCUUAAUAAAAGAUAAACCACAAGGUAACUCACUUAGCACUAAAAUAAGAUUACUUAUUUAGAUUCUGGUUUUAUAGUUGCAUUGUGGUUUUUGAUUUGUUUUGUUUUGUUUUUUGAGACAGGUUCUCACUCUCUUUCCCAGACUGAAGGGCAGUGGUACAACUGCGGCUCACUGUAGCCUCAAUCUUCCAGGCCCAAGCCAUCCUCCUGACUCAGCCUCCUGAGUAGCUAGGCCAAAGGUGCAUGCCACCAUGCCUGGCUAAUUUUUUU
rnacentral:lncRNA from 10 species